rnacentral:rRNA from 2 species
GGAAGCGAUCAUACCAGCACUAAAGCACCGGAUCACAUCAGAACUCCGAAGUUAAGCGUGCUUGGGCGAGAGUAGUACUAGGAUGGGUGACCUCCUGGGAAGUCCUCGUGUUGCAUUCC